ensembl:lncRNA
GUAUUGUGUGUAGAUUGAUGAGAUUUAAAAAAUAUAUAUAUAAUCCAUUUUAGAAUAAGGCUGUAACGUAACACAAUGUGGAAAAAGUGAAGGGGUCUGAAUACUUUCCGAAUGCACCGUAGAUGGGCAUUCAUAAAAUUAUAUUUCAGGCAACACUGUAGGCUACACCUCAGUAAGCAUGGACUGGCACUGAUGCCUUUUCGACGUCGUUUUUUGGUGCAGUCCGGACCGGCCUUGAUUUCCACAUCCACUGAUAUUAGUUUUUGGUCCGGUCCGGACAUUGGUUUUUGGUCUCACCUAGAAUGGCAGAACGGCAUCCGAUGACAUCAUGGGCCCUGCAUACUUUCAAAAUGAUUCAGCAAUCAAUAUUUAUUUGAAAAAUACUUACAUUUUUUUUGAUUGUCUUAGUAAAGCUUGACAAAAGAAAGAUCCACCUCUGUCGAAGGAAAAGAAAGAUCCACCUCUGUCGAACGGAUACAAAUUUCGACGAUCUUUAGAAAAGUUAUCCAAUUUCUGUUCUUUCCAUUACACAUGCCGCAGUAAUAUUUUUGUUGAAUAAAGCUGGGUCAAUGAGAAACCUGCCUAUUGAUUCUCUCUCUCUGAAGGAGAGGCCCCAUUGGUCAGAGGAGGAGAAGAGAUGAGAAGUACACUAGAGAGCCCCCCAAGUCGCCCCCCCGCUCCUUGUCUCCCAGUCUGGAGCUUGGCCCUACUAGCUUCCCCCCGCUGCCCCCAGCAACAGCCUCCAGAGAAACACUUACCAUAGCAACCAGCAAUCACAAAGCAACCUGCAACCACAAGUGUGCAGUUACAUACAGCAGUACCAGCCAACCAACCACUGUGACAUUACAAGACCUCCAGCCUAUCACAGCAUUGCCUCAGAAAAACCACCCCCCAGAGAAGCUGAAGGAAACCAUGCUAUCUCUCAAGAGGACCACAGCAGCUCCUCCGACCGUGAAAGAACCUAUCCAGACCACGAAGGAAAACAGACCAGCAGUGGAGUCCAAGAAGCCAAGCUACGCUGAGAUCUGCCAAAGGAUACGAGCCAAUCAAACACUUUGCGCAAACCCCAUUGACCACACCCCAUCCGGGGCGGAGCUUGCCCCAGCCUAUCCUGCACAGGAGUCUGACCAGGCUCAGUUACCACGGUGACCAGAGUGAGCUGGUUACUUUUGGUUGGGGAGGGCAAGAGGGGAGGAGGAGAGAAGAGGAGGACGUUUUUCAAGCCAAAGGAAAAAAAUCUAUAGCCCUUUAAUGUUGAGGUUUUCAUUUGUUUUAUUUAUAAAGUUUAGUUAGUUUUAGAAGCCAAGUUGUAGAACUCUUGUUUUUCUCUGCUGUCUGUCUGUCCGUCUUGUGUCUGUCUGUCUGUCUGUCUGUCUGACUGACGGAAGUCUCUGAAUUCUUUACGGUUUAAUAUUGAUUAAUUUAUUUUUAUGAAUAUUGAUUAGUAUUUAGACCAUCAGACAUACUUCUGUAUUAAUUCCUAAGUCUAAAUAACUUCUGCGGAACAGUUACAAUAACUACACUGAACACACACAACAGUUACAGUAACUACACUGGAACACACUGGAACAGUUACAGUAACUACACUGAACACACUGGAACAGUUACAGUAACUACACUGGAACGCACUGGAACAGUUACAGUAACUACACUGAACACACUGGAACAGUUACAGUAACUACACUGGAACGCACUGGAACAGUUACAGUAACUACACUGAACACACUGGAACAGAUACAGUAACUACACUGAACACACUGGAACAGUUACACUAACUACACUGAACACACUGGAACAGUUACAGUAACUACACAGGAACACACUGAAACAGUUACAGUAACUACACUGGAACACACUGGAACAGUUACAGUAACUACACUGGAUCAUACUGGAACAGUUACAGUAACUACACUGAACACAUUGGAACAGUUACAGUAACUACACAGGAACACACUGGAACAGUUACACUAACUACACAGGAACACACUGGAACAGUUACACUAAGUACAAACAGCCAGACACUGAGUGCCAAGAAGCUAAAAAGCAAUGAUUUCAUAUCAAAAUUUGUUUCUGCAUGAGUUUUAGAUGUAUUUAUUUACUGUUUUAUUUAGAUGGGUUGUCUUGUGUGUUUAUUGGUUUGUGUUGUUUUGAGUUUGGAGGGUGGGUGUCUGUUUAGAAGAGAAACAUCUGAGGUGGAUAUUGAUAUGUGUACAUACAACACUGUUAGCAUUAACAACUUGAAUUUGAUUUGGAAUCUGGGGUAGCUGGAGGGAGAGGGUGGGGGAUGUAGAUAAAACUUCCAGUUCGCAUGUCCUAUGUUUGAGAGAGAUUAACUGUGCAAAUGCGGUUAAUCGAUACAGAAUAUUUUUUUUUUCUGUACAGAUGUAAAUAAUUGGACUAUUAUUAAAUAAGUGCCUUUAAUAAUAAACAAUGGAAAACUC